GUUAUAUGACAACCUCUCCAUAACAAUCAUCAGAAGGAUACAGCGAUGUACGAGCGAUGAAACCCGGUCAUUUUUGUAUGUUUGUUGUCAUUCUGAUAAGCUUUAAUCAAGAUGCCUUGACAACUAAAGAAAA